GAUGGGUAGCUAGCUGAACAAGUUGGUAAUCAAAAUCAUUCCCAUCAUAGGAAUGACUGUGUAGCCCUAACAGGUUAGACAGUAACAGAUCAGAGGUAUUAAAGGGUGUUUAACUGGUUAGAGAGUAACAGAUCAGAGGUAUUAAAGGAUGUUUAACUGGUUAGUAAUGUGGAGUUCAGCUCAGCUAACAUCACUGAAGAUUAAACAUUAAAUAGGCUAUCCUAAAUGGAAGCUAGUUUGCCAUUACUGAUGUGUUUGUCAGAU